GUUGAACUCAAAUCAGGUGGGACUACCCGCUGA
rnacentral:rRNA from 1 species